GGCCAUUCUUUCCAAGAAAUAGAGUUUUGAAUAGUGUUUUUUUCGAAGAAUAUGUGGUUAGAAUAUUUUAUUUUGCGAUAACGUGGUCAAAAAUGAGUACAGAGAAAAGAAAAUUUUAAAAGUAUGGGAAUCAAACAUGGCCUUAAAUUCUUAUACAGUAUAUGUGGCAUAUCAAUGUCUGCACCCCAUCAAUUACUACUGGAAAAUAUUGGUUAAUUUUGAGAUAAAUGGAGCAUGGAAUACGAUCAUCUAAUGCCCUCAAAUAUCUUUUUUCUUUUCCUACUACUAUUCAAAGGCAGAAGCAGAUAACUACUCUAGGAAAGUUAAACAAUGAAGAAUGCAUUGUUCAAUGUUCAGCAUGAAAAAUCCAGUAAUAUAAUUAAGAUAAAACCAAUACUCAAUAUAACGAUUCAUGAGGAUACAAACAAAAUUGGAUCCUGUCUGGGCUCCAUUUUAUUCAAAAAUACACUUUUCUCUCCUGUUUUUAAUCACACUCCAAUAAAAUAAUAUUACAUGUAAACCCAAAACUUUUCCUUCUUUUUUAAUCAUACAUGUUUUAAAAAAUUACUAUUCCAAAACACAUUUUCUCCAAAAACACAUUAAAACGGAGCCCAAACUAGGGCUUGAUCUUUUCUCCAAGAGCCCAAAAUUUAUUUGAGCAGAUUGGCAAGUUGGAAUAGUGCUCGACUGCCCAGGAUACAGCUAUAUGCAUUGUACACUCUCCAGGAAUCGAAUCACAGUGAAAAUGGUUUGGAGAAACAUAUACAGAAUGCUGAGUGCAUUGGAAAAUAAUUCCAGAUUGCUAAGCCUUCCAAAAUCAUCAAGUAAUUAAAAUGGGCGCAAAGAUGUGGUAUUUAUGCUUUCUUUAGCAGUACAAGUCUACUGGAAGUAUAUUUUUAAAGUUUUGAUGAUAUUUUUAUGAAAGAUCUUUUCUACAGUACCAAUGGGUUAUUUCUUCAAAGAUCUACUGUAAAACCCUAGUUGCACAAACAUGGUUAAAAAAAACAAAUGCUUCAC
rnacentral:lncRNA from 1 species